GGGGAAUUUUGGACAAUGGGCGCAAGCCUGAUCCAGCAAUGCCGCGUGCAGGAUGAAGGCCUUCGGGUUGUAAACUGCUUUUGUACGGAACGAAAAGCCACCCUCUAAUACAGUGGGGUGAUGACGGUACCGUAAGAAUAAGCACCGGCUAACUACGUGCCAGCAGCCGCGGUAAUACGUAGGGUGCAAGCGUGAAUCGGAAUUACUGGGCGUAAAGCGUGCGCAGGCGGUUUUGUAAGACAGUGGUGAAAUCCCCGGGCUCAACCUGGGAACUGCCAUUGUGACUGCGAGGCUAGAGUACGGCAGAGGGGGGUAGAAUUCCACGUGUAGCAGUGAAAUGCGUAGAGAUGUGGAGGAAUACAGAUGGCGAAGGCAGCCCCCUGGGUUAGUACUGACGCUCAUGCACGAAAGCGUGGGGAGCAAACA
rnacentral:rRNA from 1 species